rnacentral:rRNA from 1 species
CCUACGAGUGGCAGCAGUGAGGAAUAUUGGUCAAUGGGCUUACGCCUGAACCAGCCAAGUCGCGUGAGGGAAGACUGCCCUAUGGGUUGUAAACCUCUUUUGUCAGGGAGCAAUUGGCGCUACGUGUAGCGUUAUCGAGAGUACCUGAAGAAAAAGCAUCGGCUAACUCCGUGCCAGCAGCCGCGGUAAUACGGAGGAUGCGAGCGUUAUCCGGAUUUAUUGGGUUUAAAGGGUGCGUAGGCGGAAUGCCAAGUCAGCGGUAAAAUCGCGGGGCUCAACCUCGCUCCGCCGUUGAAACUGGUGUUCUUGAGUGGGCGAGAAGUAUGCGGAAUGCGUGGUGUAGCGGUGAAAUGCAUAGAUAUCACGCAGAACUCCGAUUGCGAAGGCAGCAUACCGGCGCCCAACUGACGCUGAAGCACGAAAGCGUGGGUAUCGAACAGGAUUAGAUACCUCAGUAGUC